rnacentral:rRNA from 1 species
GGAUGCGAUCAUACCAGCACUAAAGCACCGGAUCCCAUCAGAACUCCGAAGUUAAGCGUGCUUGGGCGAGAGUAGUACUAGGAUGGGUGACCUCGUGGGAAGUCCUUGUGUUGCAUUCC